rnacentral:lncRNA from 1 species
UUUAUAUUUAUGGAAAUUUAUGUAAAUUCAGUCCUACAUUAUUUUUGCUGCAUAAUUUCCAUCCAUAGCCUACGCCCAAGUCUUUUCAACUAUGCCUAGAGGCAGUGCAACCGGUGUCAUAAAGUUUCCUAGCAACAACAAUAACUUGACUAUAAUUGUCAAUUAGCAAUCUUUCAACAGCAGCAGCCCCCACCCAAAUACAUUUUUUUUUUGUUUGUGCAUUUGCUGGCUGCUGUGAUUUUCCAGCCUCAAGCAAUUUGCAUAUUCCACGGACUGGCGUGGAGUCGUUUUCGGUUCACAUUUCCAGCUGGGGCGAGCGCGACCCACGCAGCAUUGACACAUGCACGUCACUGCCACUUCCACUUGAUGUUGUUCUGCAGAUAGAGAAGCUUGUGGCGCGGAUUGGAAUGGAUUGCCAUUGCCGCUUGGUAGCAUAACGAAAAUUAUAUUACUACCGAUAGACUAGAUGAUAAUUAUGGAUUGACACGCCUUUAAGUUGCACCGCUUUGAUUUUGGGGUGUGUUCGUUUGACCCACAAAUGGGU